UAUCAACUCCACCUUUAAUAGUUGACUCAAAGUCUCAGUCUGUUAUUAGAAAAAGAAUUGUUAAAGAAAAGCUUACAUCAAGUUUAAAAAACCUUUUAACUGUUGUUGGAAUGACAAUUACAGAUCUCUCUGAACUUGGAUUCUUUUCACUUGUUGAUACAUUUCGAUUUACUAGUAAAAAUAUUGUUUUGAAACCAAAGCAGUGGCAUAAUAUUGGGCUAAUUUUAUU
rnacentral:lncRNA from 1 species